AGAGUUUGAUCAUGGCUCAGAAUCAACGCUGGCGGCGUGCCUAACACAUGCAAGUCGAACGCGAAAGGGGAGCAAUCCCUGAGUAGAGUGGCAAACGGGUGAGUAACACGUGGGUGACCUGCCUCAGAGUGGGGGAUAACGUCCCGAAAGGGACGCUAAUACCGCAUAACAUCCUGCCUUUGGAAAGGCGGAGAUCAAAGCCGGGGAUCGCAAGACCUGGCGCUUGGAGAGGGGCCCGCGUCUGAUUAGCUAGUUGGUAGGGUAAUGGCCUACCAAGGCAACGAUCAGUAUCCGGCCUGAGAGGGCGGACGGACACACUGGGACUGAGACACGGCCCAGACUCCUACGGGAGGCAGCAGUGGGGAAUUGUUCGCAAUGGGCGCAAGCCUGACGACGCAACGCCGCGUGGAGGAUGAAGAUCUUCGGGUCGUAAACUCCUGUCGAGCGGGAAGAACACUUUCCGGGUGAACAAUCCGGGAGGCUGACGGUACCGCUAAAGGAAGCCCCGGCUAACUCCGUGCCAGCCGCCGCGGUAAUAC
rnacentral:rRNA from 1 species